UGAUGUUGUGGUGAUGUAGAACAAGCUACCUCUUAUGAAAGAAUUGAGUACACCUGAUGGCAGAACCGCACCAGCUGACCCUACCGCCACCACUUAGUAA
rnacentral:snoRNA from 7 species